AUUCUAAAGAACAACACACAGUACAGCAAUGGCUUUAACUCAACUACUGGUAACGCUGCUCAUAGGAACCUGUUCUGUUUACGGCCAGAAUAGGCUCCCUUGGUUAUGGAGAGGCUUCCCGACCUGUCCACACUUGAUGUGUGAGCCUAUUCCCGUGGAUAUGCCAGAUUUCUGCAUUAUUCCAGGCAGCCUGAUGUUCCAAGGAUGGUCACUCUGCAAGAGUUGCGAUAUUAUUUACUCUGAAUGCUUACCCGAAAACUUACCAAGACAACCUGCUGGUGGUCCAUCAAGAGUGGGAUCAACCGUUCCGGGAUCUGGAAUCCCCACACAACAAAAUGAGGUUCCACCAUGCGUCCAUGUGUCCUGUCCGUCUUUUGCCCAAAUCAACAAAUCGUGUAUCAGGGAGGGGUCGAUUAUUGAGUUUGAGGGCGCUCAAUGCAGGGAUUGUGAUUACGUAGACCCGUUCUGUGAGGGUCUGAAUCUGGACAUCUGCCAGAAUCACAUCGUAGACUGCACCGGUGUACCCAAAUCAGCACCCAAGAAGUGUAUAGAACAGAGCGUCAUUCAGUUUAACAACAAUCCAUGCUUGUCCUGUCCAUUUCUGAAAACCGAGGACCCAGAAUGCAAUACACCAGACUUAAGGAGAUGUCCGGGAUUAAAAUGUGCUGACUUGUCUCAGGUAUCUAGCGCAUGCGUAAAGGAGGGACGUAUGGUCAGGCUCGGUUCCUCACAAUGUCACCUCUGUCCAGAGAUAGACACACAAAAUCCAGCUUGCAACCCACUAUCUGCCGCACCAAAACGUAGCCUAACACCAGUGUCGCUGUGUCCCAACUCUUAUUGUCCACCGCUGGCCGGAAUUCCACAGAAUUGUAUCACCGAAGGGGAGCUAUCCAGCUACGAGGGAACACCCUGUCGCAAAUGUGCAGUCAUUGAUCCAUUCUGUCCCGGUUUAAACCUACAGAUCUGUCAAAACCACAUUCUAGACUGUUGGGGUGCUCCAACAAAUACUCCCAAUAGAUGCAAGUCUCAAUCCGUCAUCAGUUUUGGAAACAGAGCUUGUUUAACAUGUCCCUAUUUCAAAACAGAAGAAGCCGGAUGCAUAGAAGAUGUCCUACAAUAUUUGUCCCGGAAUUCAGUGCUCCGAAGUCCGAGGGGUCCCGUAUCGUUGUUUGAGACAACCCUCCCAACUCUCAGGGAUCACAGUGCGCCACAGAGUGUCCAUCCAGAGUAAUGGCCCCUGGAUGUCCAAUGCCGCCGAGGAGGCCGCCACAAGCGCUACCAGCCACACCGGCACCACCUACACCAAGAGCGCCAACUCGUUCAUUCAAUCCACAACUGUGCCCAGCCCUUAUGUGUCCCGAUAUGCCUAGAAAUGUACCCGAAUCUUGUCUCAGACCCGGAGUCAUCAUGGGAAUGAACGGCCAAGAAUGUCCCGGAUGUCCACAGGUCGACCCCGGCCUGUCAACUAGAACAGUUGGAUAUCUGUGAGAACCUGCUCCCCACGUGCGGACAGGUGCCACAAGGGACUUCCAGCGAGGUGCUACGACCAGAGCACCGUGUCUUACAACGGUCGGCGCUGUUUGACGUGUCCUGAGGUUCGCCCGAUGUGCAGGCGCUCCACUGUCCUGACCUAACUCUAUAGAACGUUUUCAAAUUUCAAUCAAAGAAAUCCAGUGUUCAUGCACAUAAUAAUAUUUCAUUUACCCAUUUCUCACUUCAAUGUAAUUGUCAUAACUUACAUUGUUUUUUAUUUAUAUGUUAGUUUUAAUUUUUAAGGCGAUUUGUAAUUAUACAUUUUUUUACUGUAAUAAAUACUUUAUAAAAUAUC
rnacentral:misc_RNA from 1 species